rnacentral:tRNA from 4 species
GAGCAAGGGUUUAAGGUGCGGACUAUCCAGACUCAAAAUCUGCCGCUAGCGAUAGUGUGUGGGUUCGAGUCCCACCUUGCCCA